GCAACACUGCACGGGUUAGAUACAUGCUUGCCGUCCUGUCCCGUGCUGGUGAAUCGAAAUGCGCCAUAGCCAACUUAGCUAGCUUAGGAAGCUACAACAAACCUACGUUGACAAGAUGGAUAAUCUCUGACACAAGGAAGGCCUUCAUGAAAAAAUUUCAAGAAAUGGCAGAAGGGACCUCAUUGAGCUGGUGAGGAACAGUAAAUACAUAACACUGUGAUAGACUGUACAAAGUCACUGUACAAAAUCAGUUGUGUACCUUUGUUAAGACUGCUACUAAUGCUAACAUCA
rnacentral:lncRNA from 1 species